rnacentral:rRNA from 1 species
UACGAAGGGGGCAAGCGUUGUUCGGAAUUACUGGGCGUAAAGGGCGCGUAGGCGGCUUAUCAAGUCAGGCGUGAAAUUCCCGGGCUCAACCUGGGGGCUGCGCUUGAUACUGAUUGGCUUGAAUGCGGGAGAGGAUAGUGGAAUUCCCAGUGUAGAGGUGAAAUUCGUAGAUAUUCGGAAGAACACCAGUGGCGAAGGCGGCUCACUGGACCGGCAUUGACGCUGAGGUGCGAAAGCGUGGGGAGCAAACAGGG